GACAGAGGGGCAAGCGUUGCUCGGAAUCACUGGGCGUAAAGGGCGCGUAGGCGGGAUGGCAAGUCAGUCGUGAAAUCUCUCGGCUCAACCGAGAAACGUCGGCUGAUACUGCCGUUCUUGAGGGAUGCAGAGGAGACUGGAAUUCCCGGUGUAGCGGUGAAAUGUGUAGAGAUCGGGAGGAACACCGGUGGCGAAGGCGGCUCACUGGCCCGAUACUGACGCUGAGGUGCGAAAGCGUGGGGAGCAAACAGG
rnacentral:rRNA from 1 species